ensembl:lncRNA
UAUUGAAAAGAUGGUCAGCGAGAAUGGGCUAUCUAAUUAAGGAAUUAGACACCAGGGCAUAAUCCAACACACACAAUCAACCAGAACCCAAUACAAACCCGAUACACACACCCACAUUAUCAACCAGCAUUUGAGCUGUCCUCAAAGGUAGGCUGCUUAACGCAUUAGUGGAUGAACUGCAUUCCAAUGUCCACACAAAGACAAUGCAAUAUAAAACUACAAGGAAGAACACAACCAUCUGAAUCACUUCCACGUAGCUGGGCACAUUUGGUUGGUUUUAUUGGAAGUUCAUUUUUUUCCGUCCAGGUGUCACUUCAACAAACACACAAUCAACCAGCUCAGCUGUCAUCAAUCACAUGAUGGCUGUGUGCAGACUUUUUUUUGGUUUAAAGAAAUAUCGAUUGUGAGGGACGUUACCUAAUACUUUUGUGAAGAACACAACAUAUAACACGUUGAGGAGAAGAUAAAGAAAUUAACUAGAGAGAGGGUGAAACGCAGGGCUUGUUGAAGGUGACCCACAUACAUACAUAUACGAAGCGGCUGCUGCUGUGAGCGAAAGAUAUCGAACAGCUAAUUGCUAAAAUAAGCGUAUGACCUAGAAAAUUGGCCUUAGUCGGACAUAAGGAAGAGAGUGUAGUAGCCGUAGAAGAGGAUGACGAUGCUUGAGAAGAGGCCAGCCGCACUUGGGACCACGGAGCACAUCGAGAUGGAGAUCUUCGCCUCGGAAGAGUCUCGCGCCGUGGUCUCCGUACAUGAUACCGAGGAGGGCUACUUCGGCUACUAUAGGCACCUAGAGCAUCCUCUGGUGUCCGUUUCUGAAGAGGAGUACCUAGAGGCCCAGGUCCAGAGCCCAGCUGAACAGCAAUUCAAGCUGAAGAGAGUGCUUUCUGUCGGGACAGAGGACUUGGAUGACUGCCCCCUGAUUCCAGACUUAAAGGAGGACAUGGAGAUCGAAAUGGAGGAAUUCCCUCCCUUCAACACGCCCGAGAGUGAGCAAGUUUUAAAAACAUCAGCCCUCCCUUCCUUCAAAACACUACGGUUUCCCGCCGUGGCUUCUCUCAACCAAGUCACCAAAGUCAAAUGGAGCCAAGUAGACCAUCAGAGGACUGGACUGGUAGUUAAAGACGUCAUCUGUCUACCCAGAGGACACCUCCUGGCCCAUCCCGACCGAAAGAACUUUCCUCUGGGGGUUGCCAUGGAAAGAUGUGGUGAGACCCAGCCGGUGGAAGGGAACCUGCCUCCGGAACACAGCCACAAGAUAGAUCUAAUGUGUGGCCAGAAUGACUUUCUGGACGACUUUGACUGGAGAGACGUUACCGAUCCUGAGGCACAAGUCUGAAUGAAACAGCUUCAGAGUCCUACCAGUUUAGGGCUGUUAUCUGACAGCUCUUGUGACCGGUACAGAAGCUCUGAACUACCAGAGAACGACUCUACUGACCAUUCCUCCAUUUACGCCAGCCUGGUCAAACACUACAUCUACCACAGGGUAGCAAGUACGGCCGCUCAGUUCACAGACGGUUUGGACAGCUGCAGUGGUUUAUGGGAAACGGUGUGUACCAACUGGGAGGCAUUUGCUCCAGUUAUGACCGGCAUGGGACAUAAAACAAGGAGGACUAGUGCAGAUUGCAGCUUAAGAGGUGGAGAAGGAAUCCAAACAUCACCUAACAUCACAUCAAACAAUGGAGUGAUGCUUCACAAGUAUGGAAUAGUAAAAGGUAUAACCAGUUUUGUUUAUGCGUCACUGAAGUGGUAGCAUUUUAAGUACGUAGUAUAUCCAUGAGAAGUAGUGUGAUAAAAGCAUGGUCUACAGACUUAUAAGAAUGCUGUUCCUGAUGUUUAGGGGGUUGACAAUAUUUGUUUUAUAUAAAUGGUCAGACAAAAGUAGAUAACUCUGAAACAAUGAUAAUCCAAUGUCUACAUCUAAAUGCACCAGUUGCAGAUGUCUUCAGAAAAAUUGCAGUGUUCUAAAUCCUAGGGCACAUGGAAAUGUUGUGAUAAAUUUGAUGUUUUAUUUAACAUUUGAAUACACAUUUCAUAUAAUUACAAUUUCAAAUGUACGUAUUUACUAAUGAAAUGCAACCAGGACGGUGUGUCUUCAGUAGUAAUGCAUUAUCUGAAAAUAAAAUUAUAUUUAAAUAUUACAGGCCAUGAUUUUUUUUUUUUUCUUUUGGUGCUUGGUGUUUAUCAAAG